CUUAUAUAACGCUGCGAGUUACCUUUUAAAAGGUCUACGCUAUAAUACCGGCCUGCAGCCACACUGUCGGCGUCGGCGGAUUCAAACAAGAUUUUUUGCUUUAAGAGUUUCUUUAAAAACACGCUGGCCAGAAUGAAUCCAGUAGUGGAAAUCGUGGAAGACUUGGGAAAAGGAGCUAUCAACGCAACCACGAAUGCCGUGGAAGGAGUGGCAAAGACUUCCACCGCCUUGGUCAGUGGCGUCAGCGACACGGUCACCGGCACUGCCGAUUUGCUUGAAAAAGUCCACCGAGACUGUGAUAACCCGGUCCUUGCAGCUCUUGCAACCCCAGGUCUUGUGGUUGCAGGAGUCACAGUCGGCGUUGCGAAAACUGUCGGCAACGUUGCAGUUGAGGUUGGAAACACUGUUUUAAGCAUCUUCGAUGGUAUUGCAAGUAUUUUUUAGAUUAUUUGCAAGUUGUCAUAAAAUUUUCCAUCAGCAAA